UGUCCAGUGUGCCGCUAGAUGGUGUUUGUAUUAUUUUUAAAAUGGCGAAAUGUGUGAAGAGUUUUGUCAUCUUCUGUUUUCAAAUUUUCAUGUUUUACUGCCCAAAAUCAACCAAUUAAUUACAUAAAAUGUACCUGCCGUCUAGUCAUCUGAUUAAAUUUGGACCCUUUUUAAAAACCAAUUGCUCAACUCUUCUGUAACUCACACCCUCAGCUUCAUCUGCAUCAUCCUCUCACAUCUUAGACAAAACUGCAAGCUGUUAUGCCCAAAAGUUGUGGCAUUGCAUAUAUGGUUACAUGUUCCUUCUUGCCUGAAAGAUGUUUACACCUUUGAACACUCUUGGAGGGGUUGUUGCGUCAUGAAAUUGUAUUGCUGCCAUUCCCUGCAUCUCCCACUUCAUAGCUGCAAGAAACGAGCCUUCAACAGAUUGAGGUAGAGGAAUUCAUAGGUUGUGUGGUAUGCCAUUGGAUCCAUUGGAUUUCGCGAGUCAGCCACCUAUGUCAAUCUACAACGCAGUUUCUUUAUUGGAAUUCUGUGGUCCUGGCACAGAGAUCCUUGAUGCUGGCCUUUGUCCAUUACAGAAGAGUGACUUCUACCAACUCUCUGCUCCAUCCUUAUCUUCGCUAUCCACAUUCGUCUAGCUUCUCUGCUUAUUAUGCUGCUAAACAAUUGGUCGUACUUCACUGACGAGUUAGACCAGUCGCUUCCGUCCUCAGCGACACACCUACUGUCACUCUCCGCGGAAUUAUGCCCAGGUAAUCCAGAGGAAACGUCGAGAAGAUGGACAUCGAAACGUCGUCGGUAUCUCCAAAAUGAC
rnacentral:lncRNA from 1 species